rnacentral:lncRNA from 1 species
CAGAAUAAAAUAUACACAAGUCCUUUGGGGCAUUCCCCGGAUAAAUUUAACUAAGGGAGGAUCUCUCGUCUCGAACCCAAAAGCAAAUGAAAAAUCCUACGAUUGCCUACCCAAGUGCGGUCGGCCUAAGCAUGCUACUAGCGAUAAAAUAAAUAAAAGAAUUAAAAGAAAACUAAAUGAGUAACUCAGAGCAUGAUCUUUAGUUUUUUUAAUUCAACCCCUGGCCAAAUACAGACAAUUGAUACGUGUUAAAUAAAACAGGACAUCCAAAGCACACAGACAAGAAAAGAGUCAAUGGACAAACAUCUAAGAACACAAACUAACAAGCAAACUAGUAAGGGAAAAAUAAGACAGAUAACAACAUGAAACCACAUAAAAUGAGGAAAAUUUCAAAUAUGAUAUGACCUACCGUUACUCUAAUGACCUCGCCCUUCAUUUGGUCACUUAAUCUCCUGAUCCAAUAUCCUACUUUCAAAGCAAUUACCAAACUCGCAGAUUACCAUGUCGGAGACAAUAUCAAUUCGAGUUCGGUCGCGAAUCAAUGGUUACACUUCAUCGAACUUUCAUUUUAUUCUCGAACUCAAAUGAGACUCGCUAACUGAUUCUUGGAUUUGAAACUAGUCAUUUAAACAUGUGGAAUUCUUAUCUAGCGACUAACAGUCUACAUGAAACUGAAAUGCCGAUACCAAUCUUCUACAGGCCUUUUGACACAAGAAUUCAAACACUAGGUGUUCUGUACAUUCACAAAUUGGAUGCCAACUCGAGAAGACACAGGAUAGAACCAAACGAGCCUAAACAAAUGAGGACUCUAACAGAUCUUUGUCAACAAAUAAACUAAGACAGUAAAUCCAAUGAUUUCCGUAUUUAUCGUGUAGAACUCAAACGAUUAAACACUAAUAUUUCAAACAGUCACACAUACCAAAUCAAGGAUCAAAGAAUCAGAUUGAACUACCAUUCAACAUGCUAGGAAAUGGCAGAUCAAAGCGGCGAGACAUUCAAAUACGAAAGAAAAACAUAACACAUGAUGGUGUAACUUAAUCUAAACUUAGUACUAUAUGAAAAUCACGAGACUGUCACUGUUAAUGCCCAAAUUUGAUUAUUUAUCUCUAAAACAUGUCAUGCAAAUUCAGACUUCUAAUCAUAUUUCGACCAUUAUUAACAGAGUAAGAAAAUGAAGAUGAACCUGGAAAUUAAGCGUUCGAUUAAUUCUGUAAGAACCGAUUACAACAAAAGAAGAAUUGGCGACGAACUUGAGAACAAAAACAACUACUGAAAAUCUAGAGUCGACAACGAAGUAACAGAGCAGGAAACCAAUUCAGGGCGCGGACACGAACCAAAACUCGAAUUGCGAACUCGACCUCAAAUCAAUCGAUCUCCAUGUUGAAACCAAAUCCAAAAGAAGAAAUUAAAUGUAUUUUUUGGAAUUUUCUGAGUUCGAAAAUGAAACAAAGACUCAAACAAAAAUGAAAAUCAAACUAUUUUUUUAUUUUUAUUUGUUUUUGGAAUGUCAAUUUAUAGAAAAAUUGAGAAGAGGGCCAAAAACCCAACAACCCUAGUUUUUCUUUGAUUUUCCUCUCUCCUGAUUCCCCUAAAUUCUGUAAAAAAAAAAAAAAGACCCCAAUAUCUGAGAGAACACCCCAAUAUAUAGGGGGUCUCGAAUCUUCUUCUCCUCUUCUCCAAGUAACACCCAAAACCGUGUGGUCCCCCAAAAUCAAAUUCGAAAAUCUCCAUUUUUAACAAAAAUCAUAAAAUGGAAGUCUUGGAUCAAAAUUUUAAUCCAAUGGCUCCCAUUUUCCAACAUUUAUUUCAAGGGCUCGGAUUUUGCGUUUAAACAAAAGAAAUCAAAGAAGAAAUCCACUCGAGUCGGAUGGAAAUGAUGAAAUUUGUACGGAAUGAGUGACGUGAAAAAAAGAAAGAAGAGGGGAGGGGCCCAUGAGUGAAUUCGGCCGGUUUGCUGAGUUUUCCUGUGAGUCCCGGUGAGUUGGAGAGAGGGGAGUUGCGGCUGGUGUCUCAUAGGUUUAGGAUUAGAGUUUUUUGGGAAAGAUUAUGUUUAUAUUUGGGGGUGUGGGGAAUAAUCU